UCCAAAUCUUUUUAAUAAUUUAAGUGCACUCUUGACUUUUGAUUUUGUUAUUGGAUUUGAAAGAAUGGAAUUUGAGUAUUUUGUGGUAUUUGAGUUUUGUUUUUAAUUUAGUGAAUGAAAUAGUUUAUGUUUCUUCGGAAACAUUUGAAGCAACUCACUGCUUAAUAAUUGCUCUGCUUUACUAUUCUACCCGUGCUUGUUUAGAAGCAGGUGAAUGUCUCCAAAUCUAUUUAAUAAUUUAAGUGCACUGUUUUUCAGAUCACUUGAGUAUAUUAGUAAUAUUGUUGUAGGUGCUCAAGAUCUAGUUAUUUGGUUUAUUUGUCACAUUGUGUCUCUUUUUACCCAUUUAAAGUUCAAGUGCCAACUCCCAUGUGAUCCCAAAAUGUCAUUUUCACAAAAGUUCCUUUUAGUGGAAACUGUUGGUCACAAAAGGUUUUAUGACUAAAGAAAAGUUAUGUUGUCGAUAACGGCACGAUAGCAAAAUACCAUAGCAGAGAAGGGUACUCUGCGACGUUUUCCUCCUUUGAGCUGUGUUCAGAAGUAGCGGCGUUUGUGGUUGCAAAUCGUGUCCAAAUCACGAUGCAAUCCCGCUUUCUUUUCUGUGUCAGUUUAUCUUCAAACCCGGAUCGGGUUUUGGGGAAACAUCCUUCCUAUCUUAAGCACAGUUCCCAUUCCUCCACCUAUGAGACUGACGCCUCCCCCUCCCCAUUGUUCGAACGUCUGCCAUGUGAGAUCUCUGUAUUAACUGAUCUCUUUGAACAUGUGACGCCGACAUACAAACUAUGUUCUCUAUUGCGUAAUCAGGUUAAAAUUAUGGUUUUUAUCCGUCUCAGCUAUGAAACCCGACUUAGUGUAGAAUUAGGGUUUGUCUAACUGGGCCAAGCAGGCCCAAUUCCUCUCCCUGUAUUUUCCAAUCAUUAUUGGCCUCACGACCCAAACUCUUGUUUUUUAAAUCUAAAUUUAAUUUAAUUAUGUCCAAGUCUUCGGUACCUUUAAUUUUUUAUUUCUUGUGCUAAUUCUAAUUUAAUUACAUUUAUAACUUGGUUUUGAUGAAAAAUGACAAAGUUAAUUGCAAUUAUUAAGUAUGAUUGUCGCUUUAAUUUUGUGCAUUUAUCUAUUUAUGAGUAUUUAUGUAUCAUGUUCGAAUUUAUGUUUAUUUCGCACAGUUUUUUAGUCUUCGCAAUAGCGGCUAUACUGCUAUAGCUUUUUGGGGUUUGGUGCUAUGCACCAUUAUCUUAUAAUUACCAACUUAGACAAAAAGUAGCCAAAAAAACUCAAUCUUUAGAUUUAUUUAACUCAGCUUAAAACACUGAAAACGCCAGGUGGUACAAGGAAAAGAAACAACAACUUGCUUCCAUACAGUGUACAUGCAUAGGGAGGUGUCAAAGCCCUGAGUGAUGAGAGCGAGCAAGCGUUUGAGAGAUUCAUACUUCUUCCCGUGGUGCUCAUUAUUUUAUAUAUUGCUUUAUUUUUGUCUAUCAAACAAUGAGUUGUGAUGAACAAAGCUUCAUGUUUUGUUCUUCAAUUUAUUUUUCCAGUUGGAUACUUACUCAUCAAAUCUCUCUUAGAUUUUGGAAAUAUUAAUUUCUUUUUAUUUUUUCCUUUUUACUUAUUUAGUGCAGCAUUUAUAGGGUCAUAAUUUACAAGCUAGGAUAAGAUAUGUGUCAAAACAUAGAAAGCUGAGAUUCAUUUUUAAAUGGAAAAGGUAUAUAGGCAGAGGAUAAGAUAUAGCUCUUAAUUUACUCAGAUUCUGUUGAUUUGCUUGUAAAAUUGCUAGAAGUCUUGUUAUGGGCAAAAACAUAGAAAGCAAAUGUCCGAUGAUUAAUUCUGAUCCAUAAGAAACAAGUGGGAUAUACAAAAUUGUGCAAAUUAUAGGGUGAUUAAACUUAUAGGACCUACUAUGUAGUUAUAGGAAAGAGUGAUUGAAUGGAGACUAAGAAAAUAAGCGCAAGUUAUUGAUAACCAAUUUGGUUUUAUGCGUGGUCGGUUGACCAUGUACGCAAUCUAUUUACUACUACGACGUUGCUGGAGCGGUUUCGGAUGGAUCAAAACAACUUGCACUUAGUUUUCAUUUAUCGGAGAAGGCGUGUGAUAGAGUGCCUAGAGAGAUUUCGUGGAAAUCCCUAGAGAAAAAAGGGGUUAGGAUGCCUAUAUUCAAGCUAUGAAGGAUAUCUAUAAGGGAGUCUCAACUAGUGUGAGGACACAUGAUGGAGACAUCGGCGUUUUUUCCAUAACAAUAGGAUUGCACCAAGGUUGAACCAUAAGCCCUUAUCUUUUUACUUUACUUUUGGAUGUACUUGCGGAACACAUCCAAGAGCUAGCACCGAGAUGCUUUUUGCUUAUGAUAUAGUCAUGUUUGGAGUCGAUGGAGAAAUUAAAUGGGAGGUUGGAGACGAGUCUUAGAAAUGCAUGGCUUCUGCCUGAGCAGAAGAAAACCAGAGUAUAUGGAGUGUAAUUUUAGCAAAAGGCGAAGCGUUUCUAGCUUAGACGAAAAAACAUGAGAUCAUAUCAUACCACCAGUUACACAUUUUAAAUAUCUAGGAUCCAAAGUACAUAACGAUGGAGAAAUAGGUGUGUAAACCAUUGAAUUCAAGAUGGGUGGUUAAAAUGGCAGAGGGCCUCAAAUGGAAGUUCACUUAGUGGGAUAAAGCUUGGUUGUUGUUGUAGACGACUAUAAUGGAAGUUCACUUUUAACUUAAGUCAAUUCAAGGCUUCUUAAAAUAUCUUUUAAAUAAUAAAAUUUCGUAGUUCACUUUUCCAAUAAGCAAUGGAUUAUUUGUGAGUUUUAAAGAUCCAUGUACUCAAUAUUGUGCUAAAGCAGCAGCCGGUGGCCACUAUUGGAAGUUGGGAAUGGAGCGGUUUGCUAUAGCGGCUGUUAGUGGCGGAAAUUCGUCUAAUUUUAGGAGGAGGGCAAAAUCUUGAUAUAAUUACAUCACUUGUGGCAAUUAUGAUUAGAAUCUCAUAUUGACAUAGUGGUUAUCGCCCUUUGUUUUCUCUUCAAGUAACGGGGUUCGAACCUAAGGAUUUCCAUUUUGAUGGAUUAUUUUGUUAUUCUUGCAAAAGGAAAAUAAAAUAAGAUGCAAAACCAAGAUUACCGGGGUUCGAUCCCGUGUCAUUAUGGUUGAAAAGUGUUCUCAACCGCCACGCCAAAGCAUUUAUUGUAUCAUAUAAAAGCAUAGUAUAGUGUAUAUACAAAACUUUGGGGAUGUAAUGGCCAUCCCCUCUCCCAACAAAACUCCACCACUGGCGGCUGUAGAGGCCACUAUUGUUUUAUUAGCAAUUUUUUCAAGUUAAUAUUUUUUUAUAGCCAUGUUGGUGGUUAAUUUUUCAGGGGCAGGGGAAAUUUAUUAGUAGUAGGGAUCGAACCCUGGAUCUCCUACACAAUACACCUUUGGUAGUUACUCUUUAAACUUUCGAUGCUUAAACUUUUUUUUGUUAUUUACAUUUAUGUUUGCACAAGACCUGUGAAUUUAAUUGCUAUUUCUUAUUUACGAAUUUUUCAUGAAUUGAUUAUUGUUUUAACUUUUCAGCGUUUAUAUAUACGGUAUAAAUUAUUAUUUAUUAUGUUUAAAAAAUUCCGAGUAGCAUACUUCAUUGGUCACAUUGAAGCUCAAGUGAGAACUGAAGUGAGAGCUUUUGGUUUGGCUGACAAUGCUUUGAUGAAUAUUCAGUUUUCUCUUGUUUCUCUUCAGUUGCGCUAUAUUUGUCCAGAGCUACUGGUGGAGUGGAUUUGAUGAACUCUUAACUGGUUGGCCAUUCACGAUAACUUCAGAGGAUUGAAUUUGGAGUUGAGAUGUCUUAGACUCGAUGGUUGUCAAUACACCCUUGUGAGAAUGGAGAUGCAUUGAUAUUGGCAGAUGAUAUAGAAGACCAAGCAAGUCUCUAUGAUUGGAAAGUAACUAUAAUAGAGAAAACUAUAGUUACUUGUAAAAUAUGUUGUUUCUUUUCCAAAGGUUAUGUUCAAAGCAUGGUUUCUUCUUUCUGAAAAACAUAGAUACUCCCUUAAGGUUAAUGUAAAGAUCGACAUUUGCAAUCAUGGAAUAGCUUUGUUGGAACUUGGAGUUUCUCACAGGAAAUAGUCUAUUCAGAGUUUGGAGGAUCUAUCUGGAGUUGUCUUUUCUUCCGUGCUAUCAAUGUUCUGUUGUCGUUGCCAUCAUCAACACUAUUGUCAGAUCAGUGAAUAACUGGGAAGAAAACUAGAAAGACCUCUUAUUAUCUUUUUUUUCUUUUGGAAGUGAAAACGUGUUGACAAUUAGUAAAUUGCAACCCAAGUCCUUCUAAUGACAGUAGGAGCUAUAUUCUCAUCUGUAAGAUGAUUUUUGAAACUAUUUUUGAAACUGUAAGAUGACAAAAGUAUCGAACACUGUCAAAAUUGUUUAAAUAUUUGAUCAUGAGUGCAUAUUUUCACGGUUUCUUAUACAUUCAA